rnacentral:lncRNA from 1 species
CACUGGUUUCUACUGGGAUCAUACUGGGAUCACACUGGUUUAUACUGGGAUCAUACUGGGAUCAUACUGGUUUCUACUGGGAUCACACUGGU